rnacentral:lncRNA from 1 species
UUAACCUAAACCUAUCGGAAUUAUUAAACGCUUCAUAUCAGUCAGUAUCUAUGAUGCAUUUGUGUGUUCCAUUGUGUGAAGCAUAUAUGUAUGUAUGCAUAUAUGUCAAAACUGAUUUACAACUGUCUCAACUUUAUUCCUAAAAAUGCUCCAGAAUGCCAGUUUUCCGUAUUUGGUGUGCUGAUCGCAUCAUAAGGAAAUCGGUUGUGUCAGUAGCAGAAAUUGAAGAACUAAAGAAAAAAAGCAACACAAAAACUCGGUUUGGAGUUGGUAGGACCUACGAAGUUAGUUCUAGAGAAAUGUGGUACAGAAGUGGACGACGAUGAGGUGUUGGAAGAAAUUGCUGAUGAAGUCUUACUAUUGUUGGCUGAUGGAGAAACUUAUACACCAUCUGUAGCUCAGCAAAUACCUGACUCUACUCGAAGUUUGGUAACAUGUACUACAGGCGAUGUACUUCAACCCAGCAGGAGUGCAAGUGACAACGAAAAGGCAAGCACAAGUUCAAGUGAGACAGAGGCAUAUGCCAGUCACAAAUCAUGUAACACAUUAUCAUUGCCUUUGCCAGAACUCUCACGGGCAACCCGAGAUGACUUACAACAGGGAGAUAAAUCAAGACGGGUCUGGUUGCAGCUGAUAGAAGAAUCCAAGAACUACUACUUGAAGUAUUGCCCUCUGCUUGAUGAAAACCCUUAAGCUACGGUUACACUAGCCACUGCUACCCCUGGGCCCAGCCUUGGGCCUGGGUUUACAAGGCAAGUGGUUUCACAUAGCCCAGCCCCAGUCCUGGGCACUCUUGAUCUUGAUUUUGAUACUUGGUGCGCCGAUCUAAACAAAGCGCAUCAGACCUCAAGAUGGCUUCUCUAGGAGACUAUAUAUGGCCUCUUGUGGCCACGCAAUGGACUUUUCAACAGAAGCCAUGUUUAAAACCUUGCCCUGCAGCGUGUGUUUGUUUACAUCUGAGGAUUUCCCAGGUCAAGCGAGGGAUGAUGUUUUCUAAUAAUUUGUGUGCAGCUAAUUAUAACUAAUCAUGCAUGAAAAUAAAUAAAUUGCAUAUAUAGUGAUAUAAUAUCUAGAUAUUUUAUUAUUUAGGAAAAUUUGGGUUUAGUUAUUUGCGUGAAUAAUAUAGUCUCUUAGUUCCUAGUGGUGUGCCCAGGCCUAGAGCUGGGGAGAAAACGGUCUGGCGCGUCCACUCAACUUUGCCCUGGGCUGGGCGAUUUAGCCAGGGCUG